rnacentral:rRNA from 1 species
GACGAACCGUGCGAACGUUGUUCGGAAUCACUGGGCAUAAAGGGCGCGUAGGCGGCUUUUCAAGUCAGGGGUGAAAUCCGGCAGCUCAACUGUCGAAGUGCCCUUGAUACUGAUGAGCUCGAGGGAGGUAGGGGUGUGUGGAACUUCCGGUGGAGCGGUGAAAUGCGUUGAUAUCGGAAGGAACGCCGGUGGCGAAAGCGACGCACUGGACCUCUUCUGACGCUGAGGCGCGAAAGCUAGGGGAGCAAACGGG